CAAUAAUUCAUCAAUGCUGGAUCUGAUGAAAAAGUUCACGGGAGGACAGGAGAUCAUUAGGAGUGGUAUUACAAAGUCUGUUUCCAAUUUUCUCUCUUUGCAAUCUAUGCUGAAGCAGAAACCAAGGUUGAAACAUAUGUUCAAUAACCCAGAAUUAUCUGCAGAUUUGGCUUGUGCAAAGAAACCUCAGACUGUAACUUGUGUUGGGAUUAUUGAUGAUAAUGAAUUUUGGAGAGCAGUAGAAGAGAGUGUUGCUGUUUCUGAGCCAUUCUUGAAGGUAAUGAGAGAAGUGGCUGGUGGGAAGCCUGCAAUGGGGUUUAUUUACGAACUGAUGACCAGAGCGAAGGAGUCUAUAAGGACAUACUACAUUAUGGACGAGAUCAAAUGCAAGACAUUAUUAGACAUUGUAGAUAAGAAGUGGCAGAACAACCUCCAUUCACCUCUUCAUUCAGCAGCAGCUUUUCUGAACCCUAGUAUCCAGUAUAAUCCAGAGAUAAAAUUUCUUGGCUCCAUUAAAGAAGAUUUUUACGGAGUUCUGGAGAAACUUCUUCCAACACCCGAACUAAGACGAGAUAUAACUAACCAAAUUCUUUUGUUCACGAGGGCAAGUGGAAUGUUUGGUUGUAAUCUGGCAAAGGAGGCAAUCGAAACCGUUUCACCUGGUAAGUUUGCAUUCUAUCUUUGUUAUUUGGCUCUAUGCAAUAUGCUGCAAGGCAAACUUUUCAGAUAUUUCUAUUGUUGCUAUUACUGUCUUGAUGUGGCCUUGCAGCAAUGUCAUAUCAUGAAUGGGCUAAAAUUUGUCAACUUGUCAAAGAUGCCUAUUAGAUGAACCCAUCUAAAACUCAGAAGUAUAGCAAAAUAGAAGUUCAAAAUGCAAAGAACAUUUGUGAUUGAGAAUUAGUCUUCUGGAAAUGUUCUGCAUUCGAAGCAUUUUUACACAGUAGAUUUCCCUUUUACAAAUAUUUAAAAAUUAGGCAAGAAGCUAAAUUUGUGCUGAAUUUUAUGACUCUUCAAUUGCUUAGUUAUCAAGAAAGAUCACUAGCACAACUUUUAGAUAGCUCAUUUUGAUAUUUGGAGUACAAGACAUGUACUCCCAAAACAAAACUUGUAAGAAUAAAAUUCUUCUAUGAUGCUUCAUUGGUUGAUUCAUAGCCCAAUACAAUUGUAAGAAUAAAUUCUUCUAUGGGAUGGUUCAUUUCAUUAAAAUGCAGCAUGUAAGCUUGAGAUAAAAAUUUAAAUAUGAAGCAAUGCAAAAUCUCUUAGGGACCUUGCUUGAAAUUGCAUCAAACUUUCUAUAUUCUCUCAUCUUCUUAUGCCAGUAACUGAGCCUCCUUUUCAGGACUGCUCUGGCCAAUGUACCUGGUUUGUGCUGCUAUGUUGGGUUGGCACAAACGAAAAGUUUCAGCUCGCAUAACUUCUAUAUUUCAUUUACAUAAUAAAUUUACAUUUUAACAGCUAUUAAUCAGCUUGGAAUAUGUAUUAAGCACUUAUUGCAAUUCUAUUUGAUUGCUCAUAUGUCCAGUUCUCCCGCCCAUUAAUCGUUCCUUGCAUGAUUUAUGAUUAUGAGAAAUUGUUGGUGUGAGUGAACAUUCUGGUUUAGUUAUAUCUUCCAAUUUACACGUUCAAAUGACUAAUGUGCGGAAUAAGCAUUACAGGCAUUUGGUGGGAACAAUAUGGGGAUGCGGCUCCCAUUUUGCAACAAGCUGCAAUCCGAAUACUAAGCCAGGUCUGCAGCACUUCAACCUUGGAGAGGCAGUGGAGCACGUAUCAGCAAAUUCACUCCGAGAAGCGAAACAAGAUCGAUAAAGAAACACUAAAUGACCUACUUUACAUUAAUUAUAACCUCAGGUUAUCAAAACCUUUGAAAUCAAGGUGUUCAGAAACAGAUCCUCUUCAAUUGGAUGACAUUGACAUGACAUCGGAGUGGGCAGAGGAGGCUGAGAAUCAAAGCCCGGUUCAGUGGCUUGACCGUUUUGGUUCGACCCUGGAUGGGGGAGAUCUAAAUACAAGGCAAUUUGGUUCUGCCAUUUUUGGUGCAAAUGACCAUAUAUUUGGCCUGUAAUGAAGCAACCCUGUGAGGCUGUAGUUUAAUCUGUAAAUUAGGACCAGCAGUUGUGUACAUAAGUUUGUAUCUUAUAUGAUUCCCAUUGACAGUAGGAGAAGUUAGCUGACAGAACAGUUUUCUAUUAUCGAGUUCAGCCAACUGAAUAGUACCCAUUUUGGGAGUCAAUUUUUAGGAAAUGUAGAAUAGAUGUACCAUAGUCAAGACUUUGGUGUUUGUCGUCUGGAA
rnacentral:lncRNA from 1 species